CUUUGUUCGGUCGAAUUAUUUUCUACUACUAUCAAUGGUAGUAAUCCAGUUUUUUUCUAGAGAAUGAGAUGAUGAUCGAGAUUUUACUUCCCUAUUGGUUUGAUCGCCGCUAUGAUGGCAUCCCAUAACGUAUUAGCUCUAUCUGAUCAUUCUCUUUUAUCUCCCACCAAUCUUUAUCCUUUCACCGAUUUUACGCAGCCCUUGGUGUUGGGUUUUCUUUAGUUUAUACUUAGCAGGCCCGAACCGCACGUAUUUCUACAUUAUAACAACAAUUAUACUAUAAACAUGUGUAUUAUCACUUGUUGGGUUUGAAAAAAAAAGACGAAAUUGUGUGUAUCUAUGUAAUCAUCUUUUAAUUUUACGCAUGUGACAAAAAAUGAUUGAUAUCUCGGACCUUUAGGGUGGUUUUUUUCAUACCUAUAUGGGAAAUUUGAGGCAAUUUUAUGUAUUCAAGGGAUUUGCAUGUGCCAAUCCCUUAUAAAUUUUUUUUUUUUAAAUUAACGUGAAAAAGUAGUCUGACUUGUGCAAGGCUUGUGCAAGGGCCCGGGCACCCCGUGUGUCUGCCCCUGUAAUAAUGAUUUUGUUCAAUUUAGAAAGGAAGCACAAAUCGAAGGCUUGCAGGUUUAUUGUAAUCAAAGCCUGUUGAGCUCAAAUUUUGUGCAAGAUGUUCUGUUGUCAACCUUGGUAGGCUUCUCUUGCAGUUCUUAGCUAGACGAAUCUUCAAAGUUGACAUAAAUUUCCCUUUGGUUUCAUUUAAUAUCCUGAUUUUAAAUGCUAAUCUUGUCCUGUCUCCUAUAAAACUUUCUUUCGGUUUGAUAUUUGAGGAAGGGAGGGGCCAGAAAUUUUCCGGUACAUAUGUUACUUAUCUUACUCGCCUUAUAGUGUCAACACUACUGAAUUAUUUGCUUUCUGUGUAAGCUUUGCCAGAUGAUGGAACAAACGUAUAACGAACUGGCGGAAUUAUAUGAACUUUUGACUUUUACAUACAGUGCUGGUGGAAGUUUCCUGUUGUAGGCUUGGGGAACAGUAUUGGAAGCUGUGGUAGAGUAGUUGGCUGUCACUGAAUAAGUGAUUUGUUCAAGUUCUAAUAUUUGUAGACUUGCAGGAAAACAAUAUUUUGGAGCAGGUUGUAGCUCUUCAAAAGAUAUAUUGCUUUGACUAUUAAUGGCAUGAUUACUUCCCUCAAAAGGAUUCUAUUUACUAGACAAUUAGACAAAUAUGACCAUAGGAAAUUGCUGCAAGCUGGUUAUUUCUAGGUUUCCCCUCUAUUCAUUAUCAAUUUCACAUGAAAUAUUUCAGCCACUGGAAGCGAUUGUCGUGCUGAUUUUUUUUUCCUUGACUUCUGCCAAGGGCCGUAUUGAUGAAGAUAUAUGAUUUUGUUACUGUAGAUAAGUAAAAAAACACUUUAAAAAUUCAACACAAUGGAACAGACAAGUGCACGAACAAAUAAGAGGAGGAGGAUCGUUGAGCCUCCAUCCAAAAUCCCUCUAAUUAAGUUUCGGUACUUCAAAGACUCCACAAUAGAAGAAAGGAAGGUGCAAUGGCCUAAAUGACAACAUAAAUGCCUCAAGAUGGUUGAAUUGAUUACAAUUGUUGGAUGCAAAGCUGAGCUGCAGAUCGCCUUAUAUUUACUCUGCAGUACUCUGUCAC